rnacentral:rRNA from 1 species
CAGUCGCCGCGGUAAUACGUAGGUGGCAAGCGUUGUCCGGAAUUAUUGGGCGUAAAGGGCUCGCAGGCGGUUUCUUAAGUCUGAUGUGAAAGCCCCCGGCUCGACCGGGGAGGGUCAUUGGAAACUGGGAAACUUGAGUGCAGAAGAGGAGAAUGGAAUUCCACGUGUAGCGGUGAAAUGCGUAGAGAUGUGGAGGAACACCAGUGGCGAAGGCGACUCUCUGGUCUGUAACUGACGCUGAGGAGCGAAAGCGUGGGGAGCGAACAGGAUUAGAUACCCCUGUAGUCCCUGUCUCUUAUAA